AGUUUUAUAUUACAUUUUUAAGUUAAGGGAUUGUGAUGUUACAAUCAUAUAAGUUCAAGGACCAUUGUUGAAAUUUAUCUAGAAAAUAAGUCAAACAUGUAUUCCUACAAUUAAUAAAAAGGACAACAACCUCAUCCAUAUUAAUGAAUAUUAAAAAAUUAGUAAGAACUUCUGAGGUUAAGCCAACAAAACCAAAAGCAUUCCAUAGAACCAUACACAAGCUCUUAAAAUUUUCUAGGUAAACACCAACUUGAGGUUUGUCAUAUCUGGUCUAUUGGAUUACACAAUUUUUCUCAACUCUUUAAUCAACAUGCUCGCCUUUCUCUUAAACUCUUAACUUUUGCUUGUAUCAUAUAAUUCCCUCUCCAUCUUCACACAAAACCAAACCAACUAGUUGUCACUGCUACUUGUCCUUUACUAUUUUUUUUAAAUAUACAAUCUUUCUUGUAACAUCUAUCUUAUAGAUUUGGAAAGAGGCCAUGAACAAAAACAAAAAAAAAAAUUGUAGGAUUUGCAAUGGUCAUCGACCUAUGAAAGUAACCUAAUACACAAUACUAAGAAGCCAAAACUAUGAACUUUGUAUAACAAUGUACACUAUUGAAAUCUAUGUAUCAUCAGGGGAGAAAAUUUGGUCGGUGUGUUCUUAUUCAGUUUGAAAAUUAGCAAAGUUGAAUAAACUGGAAUCUCUUAGAAGGAAAAUUGAACUGAACCUACCAAGAACCAAAUCAAACGAAAAACUGAAAUAAUUGUCUAUUUAGGUUUUUGAUUAAAAAUACAUAUUUUUAUAUAUAACUAUAUAAAAAUAUAUAAAUAUAUAAUCUGGUGGGUUCAGUUAUUAUUAUUAUUAUUAU
rnacentral:misc_RNA from 1 species